rnacentral:rRNA from 1 species
AUCUUGAUCGGUAUGGCUUGAACCGGGCAAAAGUCGUAACAAGGUUUCCGUAGGUGAACCUGCAGAAGGAUCA